AUUGAACGCUGGCGGCAGGCCUAACACAUGCAAGUCGAACGAGUGGCGGACGGGUGAGUCAUGUCUGGGAAACUGCCUGAUGGAGGGGGAUAACUACUGGAAACGGUAGCUAAUACCGCAUACCAUCGGAUGUGCCCAGAUGGGAUUAGCUAUUAGGGGGGGUAACGGCUCACCUAGGCGACGAUCCCUAGCUGGUCUGAGUGGAUGACCAGCCACACUGGAACUGAGACACGGGCCAGACUCCAACGGGAGGCAGCAGGUGGGAAUAUUGCUCAAUGGGCGAAAGCCUGAUGCAGCCAUGCCGCGUGUAUGAAGAAGGCCUUCGGGUUGUAAAGUACUUUCAGCGAGGAGGCGUUACCCGCAGAAGAAGCACCGGCUAACUCCGUGCCAGCAGCCGCGGUAAUAC
rnacentral:rRNA from 1 species